GCUUGAUGAUGAGACUGAUAUUUAUUUACCCUGGUGAUAUUUUCCAUUCCUCAAAGGCAAUUUGAGGUC